rnacentral:rRNA from 1 species
GCUUUUUGAUUUAUUUAUAAAAGGUCGGUCCUGCUCAAUGAUUAUUUUAAAUAGCCGCAGUAAAUUGACUGUGCAAAGGUAGCAUAAUAAUUUGUCUUUUAAUUGAAGACUGGAAUGAAUGGGUUGACAUAAAACUAUCUGUCUUAAUUUUUAUUUUUGAAUUUUAUUUUAAGGUUAAAAAGCUUUAAAUUUUUGGUUAAUGUUUUUAAGGGACGAAAAGACCCUAUCAAGUUUUAUAUUAUUAAUUUGUUAUUCUUUAAUUUUUUUUAUAAUAUUUGUUUGGGGCGGAAUUUAUAGUUUAUUUUUAAUUAAUUUUUAUGAUUUGUUAAUCUAUUUUUAUCUUAUAUUAUAAAUUAAAUUAAUAAAUUACUGUAGGGAUAACAGAGUAAUUUUUUUUUAGAGUUCAAAUUGAUAAAAGAGAUUACUACCUCGAUGUUGGAUUAAAUUAAACUUAUUAAAUGAAGAAGUUAAUAUAAGUAAGUCUGUUCGACUUUUAAAAUUUACA